UACAGGGAGUGGCCACUCUGUAAACUGAAGCAGAGAUUAUAGCAGUUAGAAGUUAAGCCAAAAAAACUAAAGAGAUUCCUUGCAAAGCUGCUUUAGCAAUAGACAAAAAGGAACUAAGGGGUUCUGACAGCAACAGGCAUAUUUAUACCAUCAGGAGGGUCGGCAAGGUUACAACCAAACAUUCUAUGCCUAGUGAUUCUAAAAGGUUCUGUUUGUGUGAUUCCCCAAGACCACAAACCAGAGACUAAUAUGACCAUUGGACUAGAACUCUGGAAACUAGGUUUCAAAUACCAGCUCUGCUAUGGACAAACCCUCUGGGUGACCUUGUUCAAGUUGCACCCUUUCAGCCUCAGUGGGAAGAAAAGGCAUAUCCUCACUGAGUAAAUCUUGCCAAGAAAAAUCCAUGAAAAGCAGGGGAAUGAAGAGGAAAAAACACAUUCUCAAUCUGGCUGUCAGGAUGCAGACAGUGUGAAUUAUGGAACCAAUUUGAGGUAUCGCCUAUAUAAAAUGGUGAACAUCUAAAACAAAUACUGGAGAGAGCCUAAGGAUCUGUGAAAUUGCAGGAGGCUAUGCAGCAGGGUAUGCCUACAAUCAGCAUAUGGCAAAAAUCAAGAUUCUGGAGUGGUGCCUGGCAGCUGUGAUGACCUGGAUGAGGGCCAACAAGGGGAGGCUUAAUCCAGACAAGACAGAGAUCCUCCUGGUCAGUCACGAGUCCAAUCGGGAUAUAGAUGGCAGUCUAUGCUUGAUGGGGCUACACUCCCCCCAAAGACACAGGUUCGCAGUCUGGGGGUUCUCUUAGAUUCAUCACUGACGCUUGAAGCUCAGUAAUCAUCAGUGACUGGGAGCGCCUUCACAUAAUUAAAAUUGGUGCGCCAGCUGUGACAGUGCCUUUAAAAGUCUAACUUGGCCACAGUGGCUCACGACAUCUAGAAUGGACUACUGCAAUGCACUCUACAUGGGGCUGCCUUUGAACACGGCACGGAAACUGCAGUUGGUGCAAAGGUCGGCGACCAGAUUACUAACUGGGGCUAGCUAUAGGGAGCAUAACAUGUACCUAUUAAAGCAGCUCCACUGGUUGCUGAUGAGUUUCCAGGCCCAAUUCAAAGUGCAGGUUAUUAGCUACAAAGCUCUAUACAGUUCGGGUCCAACCUGUCUUUGAGAAUGCAUCUCCUUCUAUGAACCGGCACAGCCUGAGAUCUGCCAGGGAGGCCCUCCUUUCGGUCCCACCACUAUCCCAAGUACGGCUGGUGGGGACGAGAGGGCCUUCUCAGUGGUGGUGUCUCAGCUCUGGCAUACCCUCCCUUGAGAGAUUAAGUUAGCCUCCACUCUUCAAGCUUUUCGGUCUAGACUAAAAACAUGUUUUUUUUAGACAGGCCUUUGACCUUGAGUAGAUUUUAAUGAUUAGACAUGAGGACUUAGUUAUUGCUUCAUUCCAGCACUUGGAUUGCUAAUUUAAGACUGCCAGUUUUAUCCGCAGGCAUCGCUGCAUUUUAUUAAUUUUAAAUUUGUUAUUAUGUGUCAUUUAUGCACGUUUGCUGUUGUAAAUUUAUGUUGUUAUAGUCUAUAUGUUUAUGUAUUGUUUAUUUUAUGUUCAGCCCUUGUAGUGUUUCUGUGAGUUGCCCCGAAUCCCUUCGGGGAGAUGGUGGCGGGGUGUAAAUAAAGAUUAUUAUUAUUAUCAUCAUCA